UACGGAGGGUGCGAGCGUUGUCCGGAAUCAUUGGGCGUAAAGGGCGCGUAGGUGGCGCGGGAAGUCAACGGUGAAAGUUCAGGGCUCAACCCUGAAUCGGCCGUCGAUACUCCCGGGCUUGAGCACUGUAGAGGCAGAUGGAAUUCCGGGUGUAGCGGUGGAAUGCGUAGAGAUCCGGAAGAACACCGGUGGCGAAGGCGGUCUGCUGGGGCAGUUGCUG
rnacentral:rRNA from 1 species